rfam:Triticum aestivum genome assembly, contig: Triticum_aestivum_CS42_TGACv1_scaffold_112550_2AS
UUUGUACUCCGUCCGCCCUAAAUUUUUUGUCUUAGAUUCGUCUAGAUACAGAUGUAUUUAAUACUAAAACGUGACUUGAUACAUCCGUAUUUAGAUAAAUUUAAGACAAGAAUUUUGAGACGAAGGGAGUACUCU